CCGCCGGACGGCGGGCGUGGAGCGGCCGUGGGCGGGCACGAUCCGCCGUGACCUGGUGCCGGCGUUCGGGUCGCUGGCCGCGGU
rnacentral:tRNA from 1 species